rnacentral:rRNA from 1 species
AUUGAACGCUGGCGGCAUGCCUUACACAUGCAAGUCGAACGGCAGCACGGGAGCAAUCCUGGUGGCGAGUGGCGAACGGGUGAGUAAAGUAUCGGAACGUGCCCAGUCGUGGGGGAUAACGUAGCGAAAGUUACGCUAAUACCGCAUACGAUCUUAGGAUGAAAGCGGGGGCUCGCAAGACCUCGCGCGAUUGGAGCGGCCGAUAUCAGAUUAGGUAGUUGGUGGGGUAAAGGCUCACCAAGCCGACGAUCUGUAGGUGGUCUGAGAGGACGACCAGCCACACGGGGACUGAGACACGGCCCAGACUCCUACGGGAGGCAGCAGUGGGGAAUUUUGGACAAUGGGCGAACGCCUGUACCAGCCAUGCCGCGUGCAGGAUGAAGGCCUUCGGGUUGUAAACUGCUUUUGUACGGAACGAAAAGGUUUGGCCUAAUAAGCUGAGCUCAUGACGGUACCGUAAGAAUAAGCACCGGCUAACUACGUGCCAGCCGCCGCCGUAA